UACGUAGGUGGCAAGCGUUGUCCGGAUUUACUGGGCGUAAAGCGCGUGUAGGCGGAUCGCUAAGUCUGUGGUGAAAGCGCCUGGCUUAACCGGGCGAGGUCCAUGGAAACUAGCGGUCUGGAGGCCGGUAGAGGGGGUGGAAUUCCGGGUGUAGUGGUGAAAUGCGUAGAGAUCCGGAGGAACACCAGUGGCGAAGGCGGCCCCCUGGGCCGCGCCUGACGCUGAGACGCGAA
rnacentral:rRNA from 1 species